AACGCACAUUGCGCCUCUAGGUAUUCCUGGAGGCACGCCUGUUCGAGCGCCAUUACACACUCCAAGCUCGGCUUGAUGUUGGACGAUCCGGGACUUCGGACGUCUGGAACGUGUGGGCGUCGGGUGUCGGACCACGAGCGUAGCAAGACUUCUGUCAUUCGCUUCUGUGGAGUCGACAUCUGAUCGUCAUUCUUAACAAUACCAAAAGUUUGGCCUCGGAUCAGGCGGGGAUACCCGCUGAACUUAA
rnacentral:misc_RNA from 1 species